rnacentral:rRNA from 1 species
UUGCCACGCCCGCUCAAGAAACUACAAAGGAAGUUCGACGGGGGCCCGCGCAAGCGGUGGAGCAUGUGGUUUAAUUCGAUGCAACGCGAAGAACCUUACCAAGGCUUGACAUAUAGAGGAAACGUCUGGAAACAGUCGCCCCGCAAGGUCUCUAUACAGGUGGUGCAUGGUUGUCGUCAGCUCGUGUCGUGAGAUGUUGGGUUAAGUCCCGCAACGAGCGCAACCCUCGUUCUAUGUUGCCAGCACGUAAUGGUGGGAACUCAUGGGAUACUGCCGGGGUCAACUCGGAGGAAGGUGGGGAUGACGUCAAAUCAUCAUGCCCCUUAUGUCUUGGGCUUCACGCAUGCUACAAUGGCCGGUACAAAGGGCUGCAAUACCGUAAGGUGGAGCGAAUCCCAAAAAGCCGGUCCCAGUUCGGAUUGAGGUCUGCAACUCGACCUCAUGAAGUCGGAGUCGCUAGUAAUCGCAGAUCAGCAACGCUGCGGUGAAUACGUUCCCGGGUCUU